UGGGGAAUAUUGGACAAUGGGCGAAAGCCUGAUCCAGCCAUGCCGCGUGUGUGAAGAAGGUCUUCGGAUUGUAAAGCACUUUAAGUUGGGAGGAAGGGCAUUAACCUAAUACGUUAGUGUUUUGACGUUACCGACAGAAUAAGCACCGGCUAACUCUGUGCCAGCAGCCGCGGUAAUACAGAGGGUGCAAGCGUUAAUCGGAAUUACUGGGCGUAAAGCGCGCGUAGGUGGUUUGUUAAGUUGGAUGUGAAAUCCCCGGGCUCAACCUGGGAACUGCAUUCAAAACUGACUGACUAGAGUAUGGUAGAGGGUGGUGGAAUUUCCUGUGUAGCGGUGAAAUGCGUAGAUAUAGGAAGGAUCACCAGUGGCGAAGGCGACCACCUGGACUAAUACUGACACUGAGGUGCGAAAGCGUGGGGAGCAAACA
rnacentral:rRNA from 1 species